rnacentral:rRNA from 1 species
CCUACGGGCGGCAGCAGUGGGGAAUCUUCCGCAAUGGACGAAAGUCUGACGGAGCAACGCCGCGUGAGUGAUGACGGCCUUCGGGUUGUAAAGCUCUGUUAAUCGGGACGAAAGGCCUUCUUGCGAAUAGUGAGAAGGAUUGACGGUACCGGAAUAGAAAGCCACGGCUAACUACGUGCCAGCAGCCGCGGUAAUACGUAGGUGGCAAGCGUUGUCCGGAAUUAUUGGGCGUAAAGCGCGCGCAGGCGGAUAGGUCAGUCUGUCUUAAAAGUUCGGGGCUUAACCCCGUGAUGGGAUGGAAACGGCCAAUCUAGAGUAUCGGAGAGGAAAGUGGAAUUCCUAGUGUAGCGGUGAAAUGCGUAGAUAUUAGGAAGAACACCAGUGGCGAAGGCGACUUUCUGGACGAAAACUGACGCUGAGGCGCGAAAGCCAGGGGAGCGAACGGGAUUAGAUACCCUUGUAGUC